rnacentral:rRNA from 1 species
UUGCUCCCUGAGAUUAGCGGCGGACGGGUGAGUAACACGUGGGCAACCUGCCUAUAAGACUGGGAUAACUUCGGGAAACCGGAGCUAAUACCGGAUACGUUCUUUUCUCGCAUGAGAGAAGAUGGAAAGACGGUUUACGCUGUCACUUAUAGAUGGGCCCGCGGCGCAUUAGCUAGUUGGUGAGGUAAUGGCUCACCAAGGCGACGAUGCGUAGCCGACCUGAGAGGGUGAUCGGCCACACUGGGACUGAGACACGGCCCAGACUCCUACGGGAGGCAGCAGUAGGGAAUCUUCCGCAAUGGACGAAAGUCUGACGGAGCAACGCCGCGUGAACGAAGAAGGCCUUCGGGUCGUAAAGUUCUGUUGUUAGGGAAGAACAAGUACCAGAGUAACUGCUGGUACCUUGACGGUACCUAACCAGAAAGCCACGGCUAACUACGUGCCAGCAGCCGCGGUAAUACGUAGGUGGCAAGCGUUGUCCGGAAUUAUUGGGCGUAAAGCGCGCGCAGGUGGUUCCUUAAGUCUGAUGUGAAAGCCCACGGCUCACCCGUGGAGGGUCAUUGGAAACUGGGGGACUUGAGUGCAGAAAAGAAAGUGGAAUUCCAAGUGUAGCGGUGAAAUGCGUAGAGAUUUGGAGGAACACCAGUGGCGAAGGCGACUUUCUGGUCUGUACUGACACUGAGGCGCGAAAGCGUGGGGAGCAACAGGAUAAGAUACCCUGG